rnacentral:tRNA from 1 species
GAAGGUAUAGCUCAGUGGUUGAGUGUGUGCUUAGCAUGCACGAGGUCUUGGGUUCGAUCCCCAGUAUCUCCA